CUCACGCCUCUCCUCUCUGCUCUUUAAUUACCGCAGCACACUGAGAAAAAUUGCUCAAAUAGCUACUUUCACCACGAUUUUGAGCGAUUUGAAGGCCAAAUCAGAAGAAGUUUUAGUUGAAGAAAAGAUAAAUCAAGGCAUGAUUUCAUCACUUUGUGGAGUCAUUUGGAGUUUCCGGAGUAGGAUUUUUCGUGUGAAGUGAACUACCAAGUUGAAGAUCAAGAUAUCUGUCGGACUAUUUUGAUGCUUAAUUUUAUUCGGAACUACAUCCAUAUUGAAGUUGAGGUAUAAAUGACGCCGUGUAAUUUUGUGAAUAUUUUUUAUAUUGGUGUACUAUUGUGAAUUAUGUUACUGGUGCUGUGAAUAUUUCUAAUGGAAAUACGGUUAUUUCUUUAGUCAUAUGAUAUUCAAAUGUUAUCAUCGUAUUAUUAUCUUUAAGGUCCAACUGAAUGAUGCUAAACAAAUCAAUUAUUUUCUAACAAAAAUACGGUUAUUAAAAUGUAUUCGCUCAUUUCAUUAUUUGUAAAUAAACUAUUUUUAUUGGAUUAUAUGAAAAUGUUAUUGAAAUGGAAAUAUAUUAAAAGUUUUAAUCAUAUCUUAUUCAAAUGCUAUGAUCAUAUUAUUAUGUUUAGAGUCGUACCGAAUGAUAUUAAAAAACACUGAUUAUUUCAAACUUAAAUAUGGAUAUUAAAAUGUCUUUGCCCUUAUUAUUAUAUGUAAAGUUUUAAUCAGCUUAUCAUAAAAUAAUCGAUUACUAAUUAUUUGAAAUGUAAAUAUGGAUGUUCGUUAGGUACUAUGGAAAAUUUGUUAGGGUUCUAUGGGGCCGUCGUACGCGACGGUCCUUCCGGGGUCGAUGUGUCCAUAUGUGGGUUGACGAGAGUGGUCGCGAAAGACAUGCUCAAAGUAGAUUAUGGGACAGUCAGAAGAUGCAUCCGAGCGGUGUAUUGUCCGUGAGAUGCAUGGAAAGAAAAUGACCAUGGAGGCCUUUGUUGUUGUCGGAGGGUAAUGAUGGUACGGUUGCCUGUUGGGGUCUACGGCCAGUCACAGGAGAAAAGUCGUGGGGGUCGUACAUGAGGUUUGCAAGCAAUCCUAGUUGCUCUAUGUUUGGACAACUAAUGGUGUAUGUGGAGUUCAUUUCUGUCAAUGAUGAUGCAAGAUGCAGUAGCGGUGGUGGUGAUGAGGUCGAGUUAGCCAUCACAACAGCCCCUAGCGCCGGCCACCACUAGAAACAGAGAAUUUGCCAUCAGUUAGCUAUUUGUCGUCUGCUAGCGGACGGAAAAGAAGGCCUUUGUCGUCUGGUUAUAAAAAACGGACGGCAAAGACAUAGCUGACGGCAAAGACACUAUUUGCCAUCAACCAGUCCUUUGCCGUCUGCUAGCAGACGGCAAAGAAAUGUUGACGUCCGCUAGCUGAAGGCAAAGAGGUGGGGGUGGGGUCCAGUGGAGGGAGGCUUAUUGCAAUGGCCCACCCACCUCUUUGUCGUAAGCUAGCGGACGGCAAAGAGGCCACUAACUAACGGCCCACCCCCUCCUCUCUCUCUUCUCUCUCUCUCUCUCUCUCUCUCUCUCUCUCUC